rnacentral:rRNA from 1 species
CACUAUGCCUAGCCCUAAACAUUGACAAUGAACUACAACCAUUGUCCGCCUGGGAACUACGAGCACCAGCUUAAAACCCAAAGGACUUGGCGGUGCUUUAGAUCCACCUAGAGGAGCCUGUUCUAGAACCGAUAACCCCCGUUAAACCUCACCCCUCCUUGUUUAUCCCGCCUAUAUACCACCGUCGUCAGCUUACCCUGCGAAGAUCCAACAGUAAGCACAAUUGGCACAGCCCAAAACGUCAGGUCGAGGUGUAGCGUAUGGAGGGGGAAGAAAUGGGCUACAUUCCCUACCUCAGGGAAUCACGAACGAUACUUUGAAAUAAGUAUCUAAAGGAGGAUUUAGCAGUAAGCAGAAAAUAGAGCGUUCCGCUGAAACCGGCCCUGAAGCGCGCACACACCGCCCGUCACUCUCCCCGAGCUUAAUAAACUCAACUAACUAAAACCCUUUAACUGCAAAGGGGAGGCAAGUCGUAA